rnacentral:rRNA from 1 species
GACAGCAGCCGCCACGGUAAUACGAAGGGGGCUAGCGUUGUUCGGAAUUACUGGGCGUAAAGCGCACGUAGGCGGAUAUUUAAGUCAGGGGUGAAAUCCCAGAGCUCAACUCUGGAACUGCCUUUGAUACUGGGUAUCUUGAGUAUGGAAGAGGUGAGUGGAAUUCCGAGUGUAGAGGUGAAAUUCGUAGAUAUUCGGAGGAACACCAGUGGCGAAGGCGGCUCACUGGUCCAUUACUGACGCUGAGGUGCGAAAGCGUGGGGAGCAAACAGGAUUAGAUACCCCUGUAGUUCCUGUCUCUUAUAC